rnacentral:rRNA from 1 species
ACGGGUGAGUAACGCGUGGGAACGUACCUUUUGGUUCGGAACAACACAGGGAAACUUGUGCUAAUACCGGAUAAGCCCUUACGGGGAAAGAUUUAUCGCCGAAAGAUCGGCCCGCGUCUGAUUAGCUAGUCGGUGAGGUAAUGGCUCACCAAGGCGACGAUCAGUAGCUGGUCUGAGAGGAUGAUCAGCCACACUGGGACUGAGACACGGCCCAGACUCCUACGGGAGGCAGCAGUGGGGAAUAUUGGACAAUGGGCGCAAGCCUGAUCCAGCCAUGCCGCGUGAGUGAUGAAGGCCCUAGGGUUGUAAAGCUCUUUUGUGCGGGAAGAUAAUGACGGUACCGCAAGAAUAAGCCCCGGCUAACUUCGUGCCAGCAGCCGCGGUAAUACGAAGGGGGCUAGCGUUGCUCGGAAUCACUGGGCGUAAAGGGUGCGUAGGCGGGUCUUUAAGUCAGGGGUGAAAUCCUGGAGCUCAACUCCAGAACUGCCUUUGAUACUGAAGAUCUUGAGUUCGGGAGAGGUGAGUGGAACUGCGAGU